UUGGAGGGCAAGUCUGGUGCCAGCAGCCGCGGUAAUUCCAGCUCCAAUAGCGUAUAUUAAAGUUGUUGCAGUUAAAAAGCUCGUAGUUGAAUUUCGGGGUUAGCAGGUCGGUCGUGCCAUCGGUAUGAACUGGUCUCGCUGAUCCCUCCCUCUUGACGAACUGUGAUGCCAUUAAUUUGGUGUCGCAGGGAAUCAGGACUGUUACUUUGAAAAAAUUAGAGCGUUUAAAGCAGGCUCACGCUUGAAUACAUUAGCAUGGAAUAAUGAAAUAGGACGUUUGAUCCUAUUUUGUUGGUUUCUAGGAUUGACAUAAUGAUUAAUAGGGAUAGUUGGGGGCAUUAGUAUUCAAUUGUCAGAGGUGAAAUUCUUGGAUUUAUUGAAGACUAACUACUGCGAAAGCAUUUGCCAAGGAUGUUUUCAUUAAUCAAGAGCGAAAGUUAGGGGAUCGAAGACGAUCAGAUACCGUCGUAGUCUUAACCAUAAACUAUGCCGACUAGGGAUCGGAUGAUGUUAAUUUUUAAUGACUCAUUCGGCACCUUACGGGAAAC
rnacentral:rRNA from 1 species